rnacentral:sRNA from 1 species
AGCGGCGGCGCAGUAUUCUAGUCAGUACUGCCGCCUCCGAAGGAGGGCCUAAAAAUCCUCUAAAGGGCAUACCUGUGAAACCUCUGGUGCCUGCUUAUUACGCCCAGUUUUGGGUGGGUGCUGGGGGGAAGCGCAUCUCUGCGCUUGCGGACUCAGGGCGAUUUCCAAUGGCAUGGUCAACCCGACCCUGUUUCCGUGGAGACCUGCUCUUGUGCACAGACGUACUCCCAUCGUGGUAUUUCCGGCCUGUGUACGAAGCAGAUUGUGAACCUGCAAGGCGGUGUGGAAGGACAUUUUGCCCCAAAUGCUGUGUGCAGACGUAGCCUGCCUUGCGUGGGUGUGGUGAAUGAGAGGUCAGGCCGUGAUGCUCCGGCCGGAGCGGUCUGCGGCCCCCUGCUCUCUGAAACCAUUCCUGCAAAAGAGGCUAAGAGACGGACAGACUGUGGUGGAAAUCACCUAGGCUGUUCAUUGUGAGGCAGAAAAAGGAUUGCAGUGCGGACUAAGUGGCAGUCGGGUCGCGCGGAAGGCGACGCCGCGCCGCGGUGCUGAAAGGGAAACCGCCCCCAUCGGCAACGAGGGGUGUGCCGCGGGGAAAUCCAACCCGUACCUAAGCCGUAAGAUUUACUUUUUCUGCCGCCGCCUGCU